AAAGUCCACCAUACCGAGUACUGCGCGCUCCCCGACGGUUUGUAGAACACGUUUCACAAAAUGCAAGAAAAAAAAAAGACACUGAUGAUGCACUCCAUUACUACCUGUCCCCAGUGGUUAGAUCUUGGAUAAAUCAUUUAUUUCAAGGGUUCGUGCUGCAGUUCCGUUUCGAUACACCACGAUCGACUGGCCAGCAUCACUGGACAGCCAGAAUGGAAAACAGCGCUAAAUUUGGUAUGCGAACAGCCCCUGGCAAGCUCCGGCCUCGGCGGCCCCUGCCGACGGACCACUCUGCUUCCAGCGUUGAUCCCCCCCGCAGCCCGUCGGGUGCCCCGGAGAUCCGCCUGCUGUAUUAUAAUCUCGGAUGUCGUACCGGAACUCUCGCUCCCGAGUGUACAUCCGGACGUACACUUUGGACCAGUUUGAUAUGCAACACCUAACCUGUGUUCAAACAGCGUUUUCUGCAAACAUACAGGCUGGUGUAUCAACGAUAAGCCAGUAUUGGAAAAAAAGGAUUCUGAAGCGAUCCACAGAUAACACAGAUUAUGGAGGCUUACUACGGAGGCACAACUAAAGCGAAGGAAAAAAAAUGCAUCAAUACACCAUCACUGUCACUGCUUGAUAAGGAGUUUGGCGUAAUCCGACGACGAUGUCGCACUCAACCGCCGCAGAGCACUGUAGGGGUAGCAGUGCGGCACUGGGAACAUGGGAGUCCCGUGUAUUGAGAACACGACGACUCUAAUGUUGGCGGAGACGGGCACUGCUUCCCCUUCGUCUUGGGUGUGAUUACCCAGGGAAGAUACUCUGGCGGUCAGCACAGUGGUCUGCGAGCAAAAGAAGCACGAACGAGGAACUCUGCAUCAUGCUCUUCAAGGUUUCAUCUGGUUUGCAAGUUAAGGAAGAAUGAAGGAUGCUACAUCAAUGUUCUGAAACAUUUCAAGAGGUGUCGAACUACUAUUGAACUGUCAAGAUUUAGUACAAGUGGCUUUAAGCCUGUGAAUACAAGGGUUCCUGGACAUGGCCAUGACUCACAAGAAAGAAACCGAGACCACAUGCUGACAAUGUUCAUCCCUGUUCUGACAAAAAGAGCUGUCUUCCAUAUAGAGACGAGCAUUGACAUGGCAGAGGGGCUUCCAGAGAGUCUGAAGCUGGCUCAUCAAAUGGCCUUUCAAGAAAGAUGAGUGAUACGUGCUGAUAUUCUCUGAAAUAAAAUGUGCAGCUGCUUUUGGUACUAA